CGUCGUCGUCCACGGCGCAGUCCAACUCGGCGGCCAACUGCAAGGUCAGACGUCUGGCGGCUGACGGCGGUUGGAACGUCAACGGAGAGAACAGCGAGCCGCCCUGCGCGUGACGCAUAGAUCAACGGUUCACGUCAAUGACGUAUGCAGCUCGGAAAUGUGGGCGUUUACCCAGGCCAGAACCGCCUCCUGGUCUGUCGCACCCCAGUUGCCGCUCGCGACCGAUGAACCUGACAAGCCGUGCGUGCACGCGCCGAAUGCAACCACAUUAGCUCACAUGAACCCGAGGGCGGCCGUCCUGUAUCCGGCCGUCACCACCAGCAGGUUUCCGACCGCGGCGAGGGUGGAGCCGUCCAGGGUGGCUCGGCUUUGAUUGGUCGGGGGGUUGAUGAAGAAGACCAGCACUGGGACACGCCCCCUCUGACA